GUGUCAGCCGCCGCGGUAAUACGGAGGGUGCAAGCGUUAUCCGGAUUCACUGGGUUUAAAGGGUGCGUAGGUGGGCAGGUAAGUCAGCGGUGAAAUCCCCGAGCUUAACUUGGGAACUGCCAUUGAUACUAUCUGUCUUGAAUACCUUGGAGGUGAGCGGAAUAUGUCAUGUAGCGGUGAAAUGCUUAGAUAUGACAUAGAACACCAAUUGCGAAGGCAGCUCACUACACGGUCAUUGACACUGAGGCACGAAAGCGUGGGGAUCAAACAGGAUUAGAAACCCGUGUAGUCC
rnacentral:rRNA from 1 species